GGUAGUGACGAAAAAUAACAAUACAGGACUCUUUCGAGGCCCUGUAAUUGGAAUGAGUCCACUUUAAAUCCUUCCGCGAGGAUCCAUUGGAGGGCAAGUCUGGUGCCAGCAGCCGCGGUAAUUCCAGCUCCAAUAGCNUAU
rnacentral:rRNA from 7 species